rnacentral:lncRNA from 1 species
GCACUUUUAGGUUCACAGCAAAACUGAGUGGAUGGUACAGAGAUUUCUCAUUUAUGUCCUGUGCCCACACAUGUACAGCUGCCCCCGUUAUCAACAUCCCGCCACCAGAGUGGUGCAUUUGCUAUGAUUGAUGAGCCUACAUGACACAUCAUUAUCACCUGAAGUCCAUGGUUUACAUCACAGCACUAGUGUUGUACAUCCUAUGGCUUUGGACAAAUGUAUAAUGACAUACAUCUACCAUUAUAGUAUCAUACAGAUGGGCAGUAUUUUCAUUGUCCAAAAAAACUAUCUGCUCUGCCUAUUCAUCCCUCCCCGACUUUCCCCAACCCCUGGCAACCACUGAUCUUUUUACUGUACCUUUAUUUUUGCCUUUUCCAGGAUGUCAUAUAGAGUUGGAAUAUACCCAUACAUAGUCUUUUCAGAUUGGCUUCUUUCAGUUAGUAAUAUUCAUUUGGGGUUCCUCCAUGUCUUUUCAUGGCAUGAACAGCUUAUUUUUUUUUUUUAGCACUGAGUAAUACUCCAUCGUCUUGAUGUAUCACGGUUUAUCUAGUCACCUACUGUCAUCUACUGAAGGACAUCUUGGUUGCUUUCAAGCUCUGGCAAUUAUUAAUAGAGGUGGUAUAAACAUUUUGUACAGGUUUUUUGUUUUGUUUUGUCUUAAGACGGAGUCUUACUCUGUCUCCCAGGCCAAAUUUGGAAAGUAUAUUAUGCUCCUUUGACUCCUUGGGAUCAUAGAAUCUUUGAUCUGGAAGGACUCUCAAAGGUCAUCCGGUUUCAUUCUCUACUUGGUUCUGGAGGAGGCCCCUAUCUCUAAUUAAUGGAAACUGAGGAUUCUCCUUAUUGGCUGCAUUUUAAAACAGAUUUUGCUCCCACUUGUAGGUGGUAAAAAGGAAAUAUCUGGAUUAGGAGGGCAAACUUCUGCUUUUAGGCAGUACCCUGCAUUGAGGGAUGUCCAAAUCACCUUGUCUUUAUUUACACAUCCAUACACAAUGGAAUGCUAUGUAGCUGUUAAGAUGAAGGGGGUAGAACAAUAAAAACAAUAACCAUAAUAUAAGCUAAGCAAAACAAACAACAAAGCAGAGAUAUCUCUGUAUAUACACACGUAUGCACAUAUGUGUGCUUAUAUAUGCUUGACAUUUUCCUUUAAGGAUAUGAUGCUUAUGGGGAGACAGAUUGAAGGAGCAAGUGACUCACUUUUCCGUAUAAGCCUUUUGCAUUGUUUAAGUGUAUUACUAUGUACAUAUAGUAUUAUUUUUAAUGAAAAAUUU